rnacentral:rRNA from 1 species
UACGUAGGGUGCAAGCGUUGUCCGGAAUUAUUGGGCGUAAAGAGCUCGUAGGCGGUUCGUCGCGUCGGCUGUGAAAACCCGGAGCUCAACUCCGGGCCUGCAGUCGAUACGGGCGGACUUGAGUGUUGCAGGGGAGACUGGAAUUCCUGGUGUAGCGGUGAAAUGCGCAGAUAUCAGGAGGAACACCGGUGGCGAAGGCGGCUAUCUGGACAGAGUCUGACGCUGAGGCGCGAAAGCUAGGGGAGCAAACAGG